rnacentral:rRNA from 1 species
AUUGAACGCUGGCGGCAGGCCUAACACAUGCAAGUCGAGCGGGGUUUUCGGACCUAGCGGCGGACGGGUGAGUAAUGCGUAGGAAGCUACCCGAUAGAGGGGGAUACCAGUUGGAAACGACUGUUAAUACCGCAUAAUGUCUACGGACCAAAGUGUGGGACCUUCGGGCCACAUGCUAUCGGAUGCGCCUACGUGGGAUUAGCUAGUUGGUGGGGUAAUGGCUCACCAAGGCGACGAUCCCUAGCUGGUUUGAGAGGAUGAUCAGCCACACUGGAACUGAGACACGGUCCAGACUCCUACGGGAGGCAGCAGUGGGGAAUAUUGGACAAUGGGCGCAAGCCUGAUCCAGCCAUGCCGCGUGUGUGGAGAAGGCCUUCGGGUUGUAAAGCACUUUCAGCGAGGAGGAAGGGGUGAGUGUUAAUAGUACUCAUCUUUGACGUUACUCGCAGAAGAAGCACCGGCUAACUCUGUGCCAGCAGCCGCGGUAAUACAGAGGGUGCAAGCGUUAAUCGGAAUUACUGGGCGUAAAGCGCACGUAGGCGGUUUUUUAAGUCAGAUGUGAAAGCCCCGGGCUCAACCUGGGAAUUGCAUUUGAAACUGGAAAACUAGAGUGUGUGAGAGGGGGGUAGAAUUCCAAGUGUAGCGGUGAAAUGCGUAGAGAUUUGGAGGAAUACCAGUGGCGAAGGCGGCCCCCUGGCACAACACUGACGCUCAGGUGCGAAAGCGAGGGGAGCAAACAGGAUUAGAUACCCUGGUAGUCCACGCCGUAAACGAUGUCUACUAGCUGUUCGUGACCUUGUGUCGUGAGUAGCGCAGCUAACGCAUUAGGUAGACCGCCUGGGGAGUACGGUCGCAAGAUUAAAACUCAAAUGAAUUGACGGGGGCCCGCACAAGCGGUGG